rnacentral:tRNA from 1 species
GCACCCAUAGCUCAGCUGGAUAGAGCAUCUGCCUUCUAAGCAGACGGUCUCAGGUUCGAAUCCUGAUGGGUGUA